rfam:Marine metagenome ctg_1101668174794, whole genome shotgun sequence.
ACUCAACGAGUAUUAAAUUAAGAAAGGUGAGUUUAAAUGCUAAAGCAAGCUAUCUAGAAUAGAUCCUUGAAUAUUUGAUUAGCCUUAAUCCUGUUUUUUAGGAGUUU